GCAACCACAAAAACAACAACUAAACAAAAAUAAAAAAUAAAAUAGAAAAAUCAAGAUUGUUGCCAAUACAAUUAUUAAAGGAGAAAACCAAAUUAAACCGCGUAAAAAAAAGCAUAUAAUUAAACAAUUACAACAAAAAAAUAAAAGUACCCAUUACUACUACUUACUAUCAUUGAUAUAGUACAUCGUUUUUAACCAUUUUGGAAGAGGGUCCAAGCGAAAAAGAACAAGCCCCCAAGACGUCACCCAAGUUGGUGGAAGUUGACAAUUUGUGUUGGACCAGAGAGCAGGAAUUUGCAUACAAUUGAAUUGUGUCAGUCUAUCUGUCUGUCUGCCUGGGAGCUAACAGCAGCAACAGCAGGGAGGAGG